rnacentral:piRNA from 1 species
UAAGAGUAUCCUUACAGAUGUUCACUGGU